rnacentral:rRNA from 1 species
AGGUGCAAUCAUACCAACACUAAUGCACUAGAUACCAUCAAAAUUCCGCAGUUAAGCGUGUUUGGGCGAGAGUAGUACUAUGAUGGGUGACCUUUUGGGAGUCCUCGUAUUACACCCC